GGGGAUGUAGCUCAGUUGGCUAGAGCGCUUGACUGGCAGUCAAGAGGUCAUGGGUUCGAAUCCCAUCUUCUCCA
rnacentral:tRNA from 2 species